rnacentral:rRNA from 1 species
GACGAACGCUGGCGGCGUGCUUAACACAUGCAAGUCGAGCGGAAAGGCCACUUCGGUGGUACUCGAGCGGCGAACGGGUGAGUAACACGUGAGUAAUCUGCCCCUGGCUUUGGGAUAGCCACCGGAAACGGUGAUUAAUACCGGAUAUGACCACGUACUGCAUGGUGUGUGGUGGAAAGUUUUUCGGCCAGGGAUGUGCUCGCGGCCUAUCAGCUUGAUGGUGAGGUAAUGGCUCACCAUGGCUUCGACGGGUAGCCGGCCUGAGAGGGUGACCGGUCACACUGGGACUGAGACACGGCCCAG